UAGGGANUCUUCGGCAAUGGGGGCAACCCUGACCGAGCAACGUCGCGUGAGUGAAGAAGGUUUUCGGAUCGUAAAGCUCUGUUGUAAGGGAAGAACGAGUGUGAGAGUGGAAAGUUCACACUGUGACGGUAACUUACCAGAAAGGGACGGCUAACUACGUGCCAGCAGCCGCGGUAAUACGUAGGUCCCGAGCGUUAUCCGGAUUUAUUGGGCGUAAAGCGAGCGCAGGCGGUUAGAUAAGUCUGAAGUUAAAGGCUGUGGCUUAACCAUAGUACGCUUUGGAAACUGUUUAACUUGAGUGCAAGAGGGGAGAGUGGAAUUCCAUGUGUAGCGGUGAAAUGCGUAGAUAUAUGGAGGAACACCGGUGGCGAAAGCGGCUCUCUGGCUUGUAACUGACGCUGAGGCUCGAAAGCGUGGGGAGCAAACAGGAUUAGAUACCCUGGUAGUCCACGCCGUAAACGAUGAGUGCUAGGUGUUAGACCCUUUCCGGGGUUUAGUGCCGCAGCUAACGCAUUAAGCACUCCGCCUGGGGAGUACGACCGCAAGGUUG
rnacentral:rRNA from 1 species